CUGGAUGGCAUUCCAGUACUUGACUACACCAGGGGUCAGAGCAAAGGUGUAAACCAGGAUGUUUAGCAACAGAAAUCUACUGAUGUAGUUGUUGGAUCAGAAGUGUAAGUCAAGGUAUUGGCAGGAAGAAUUGUUUCUAAGCCAGCAAGAUAGUUGUUGAGCAUUGUAUGUCAAGAAAUAUUUUCUCUACUAGACCUUAACUACUAAUUCUUAAUUAGUCAGAGCUGCAAGCCUUAUUGUCUGCAGAUAACUGCUUGAAAGAUCUCUUUUUGACCGUCCUACUGUGGCACUGCAUUUCCAGUUACCACUGCAUUUCUUCUUCCAGAGAAAGAGAGUUCUGUCUUUGCUUUCCUACUCCAUUUAUUUACUCGAAGAUCUCAGCUCAGCUUCCACCUUGGUAAUUUCUGUUGGCAGGCAUUGCUGGCUAAUCAGAGGUUCAAAUCUACCAUAGCUUAUCAGCUUUCUCUAAGCUGGGCAACAUGGGGGACUCCCUUCUCCCAGAAAAAGCUUUCUG